ensembl:lncRNA
CCAGCACAUAAAAUAAAAUAUUUUUUUGUGUUUACACUCACUCUUUCAAAUAGAUGCAAGUAAAACACAGCAGAAAAUAAAUAAAAUCAAAGACUAGCGGUCCUGUUGCUCUAUUUUCACCUGUAAAGCAGGACUGGGGUAGGCGGAGGUUUACCCUGGUGCAGGUGUGCUGCAGCGGUCAGUGGAAGAAUCCGCGAGUUUCUCUGUGAAUUUCACAUUACGUCGUAGCGCACUCGCUGCUUGCUUGGAAGUUUAGGGGGUUUUUCGCUGUAAAAAGAAGUUUUCUUCCCACGCACAACGGACACUAAUGUUUUUGUCACUUUUUAUGGAAUCAAACUCAAAAUAAGGUUUUAGAGUUUUUCAUGGGCAAGCACCAUCAGUCAAGCAGCAGACUCUGGAUACCGUGGCUUGGACGGAGCAGGGCACACGGCUGGCUCAGGCUGGCUGGGUCUGUCUAUCCUUGAAAACAGGUACGGGUGGAGGAACUGACUGAACCCCAGCCACUCCACAAGAGGAAUAGCUGCAGGACCGGGUUGGGUCCUGACCGCCUGUGAUAAAAAACAAAAGGAGGAAAUGUAGUUUUACUUCCUGCUUUAUACCUUCUGGGUUCAUCUGAGGUCACAGGAAGAGACCAAGUGCAGGAGGGGAAGAACUCUUGUAAUUUAAUAAAGUUGAUUUUAGAGUGUUUAUGGAUAAAUAGAUUUAUUGUUGUAGUAUGUAUUGAUUACACCAUAGAGUUUAUGUUGCCA